GAUGAAGAACGUAGCGAAAUGCGAUAAGUAAUGCGAAUUGCAGAAUUCCGUGAGUCAUCGAAUCUUUGAACGCACAUUGCGCCCUCUGGUAUUCCGGAGGGCAUGCCUGUCUGAGCGUCAUUGUCAACCCUCAAGCUCAGCUUGCUGUUGGGUCCCCGUCGUUGCUUUAACGGCGGACCCGAAAGGUAAUGGCAGAGUCCGUGAGACCCUAGACGCAGCGAGCUUCUAGCACGCGUCUGGACGUUUGUCGGGCUCGGUCUUAACUAGAUGAUAACUUCCGAUUGACCUCAGAUCAGGUAGGGAUACCCGCUGAACUUAAGCAUAUCAAUAAGCGGAGGA
rnacentral:misc_RNA from 1 species